AUUGAACGCUGGCGGCGUGCUUAACACAUGCAAGUCGAUCGGUAACGCGGGGGCAACCCUGGCGACGAGAGGCGGACGGGUGAGGAACGCUUGGGAAUCUGCCUAUCAGCGGGGGACAACCCGGGGAAACUCGGGCUAAUACCGCAUACGCUCUACGGAGGAAAGCCGGGGACCGCAAGGCCUGGCGCUAAUAGAUGAGCCCAAGUCGGAUUAGCUAGUUGGUAGGGUAAUGGCCUACCAAGGCGACGAUCCGUAGCUGGUCUGAGAGGACGACCAGCCACACUGGGACUGAGACACGGCCCAGACUCCUACGGGAGGCUG
rnacentral:rRNA from 1 species